rnacentral:rRNA from 1 species
GUGGGGAAUAUUGGACAAUGGGGGGAACCCUGAUCCAGCCAUGCCGCGUGUGUGAAGAAGGCCUUUUGGUUGUAAAGCACUUUAAGCGAGGAGGAGGCUACCGAGAUUAAUACUCUUGGAUAGUGGACGUUACUCGCAGAAUAAGCACCGGCUAACUCUGUGCCAGCAGCCGCGGUAAUACAGAGGGUGCAAGCGUUAAUCGGAUUUACUGGGCGUAAAGCGCGCGUAGGUGGCCAAUUAAGUCAAAUGUGAAAUCCCCGAGCUUAACUUGGGAAUUGCAUUCGAUACUGGUUGGCUAGAGUAUGGGAGAGGAUGGUAGAAUUCCAGGUGUAGCGGUGAAAUGCGUAGAGAUCUGGAGGAAUACCGAUGGCGAAGGCAGCCAUCUGACCUAAUACUGACACUGAGGUGCGAAAGCAUGGGGAGCAAACAGGAUUAGAAACCCUGGUAGUCC